UAGGGAAUCUUCGGCAAUGGACGAAAGUCUGACCGAGCAACGCCGCGUGAGUGAAGAAGGUUUUCGGAUCGUAAAACUCUGUUGUUAGAGAAGAACAAGGACGUUAGUAACUGAACGUCCCCUGACGGUAUCUAACCAGAAAGCCACGGCUAACUACGUGCCAGCAGCCGCGGUAAUACGUAGGUGGCAAGCGUUGUCCGGAUUUAUUGGGCGUAAAGCGAGCGCAGGCGGUUUCUUAAGUCUGAUGUGAAAGCCCCCGGCUCAACCGGGGAGGGUCAUUGGAAACUGGGAGGCUUGAGUGCAGAAGAGGAAGGUGGAAUUCCAUGUGUAGCGGUGAAAUGCGUAGAUAUAUGGAGGAACACCAGUGGCGAAGGCGGCUCUCUGGUCUGUAACUGACGCUGAGGCUCGAAAGCGUGGGGAGCAAACAGG
rnacentral:rRNA from 1 species